rnacentral:rRNA from 1 species
AGAGUUUGAUCAUGGCUCAGGAUGAACGCUAGCGGCAGGCUUAACACAUGCAAGUCGAGGGGCAUCGCGGUUCCGGCAACGGGACCGGCGGCGACCGGCAUACGGGUGCGUAACGCGUGAGCGACAUUCCCUGGACCGGGGUAUAACCCGACGGAAACGUCGCCUAAUCCCCCGUAACACCAUCGGGCGCAUGCCCUUUGGUUGAAAGCUCCGGCGGUCCCGGAUUGGCUCGCGUCCCAUUAGGCGGAUGGCGGGGUAACGGCCCACCAUACCUACGAUGGGUAGGGGUUCUGAGAGGAAGGUCCCCCACAAUGGAACUGAGACACGGUCCAUACUCCUACGGGAGGCAGCAGUGAGGAAUAUUGGUCAAUGGGCGGAAGCCUGAACCAGCCAUGCCGCGUGCGGGACGACGGCCCUACGGGUUGUAAACCGCUUUUGCAGGGGAGCAAUAAGGGGGUUUCGCACCCCCGACGAGCGUACCCUGCGAAUCAGCACCGGCUAACUCCGUGCCAGCAGCCGCGGUAAUACGGAGGGUGCGAGCGUUAUCCGGAUUUAUUGGGUUUAAAGGGUGCGUAGGCUGUGCGUCAAGUCAGGGGUGAAAUUCCGUCGCUCAACGUCGGUUGUGCCCUUGAUACUGGCGUGCUGGAGUACGGAUGCCGCCGGAGGAAUGAGUGGUGUAGCGGUGAAAUGCAUAGAUAUCACUCAGAACACCGAUUGCGAAGGCAUCUCACGAAGAGGCAACUGACGCUGAGGCACGAAAGCGUGGGGAUCAAACAGGAUUAGAUACCCUGGUAGUCCACGCUGUAAACGAUGAUGACUAGCUGCCGGCGAUACACUGUCGGUGGCCCAGCGAAAGCGAUAAGUCAUCCACCUGGGGAGUACGACCGCAAGGUUGAAACUCAAAUGAAUUGACGG